ensembl:snRNA U2 U2 spliceosomal RNA
AUCGCUUCUCGGCCUUUUGGCUAAGAUCAAGUGUACUCUUCCUUUUAUAAGUUGAUCAUUGUUUACAUUAAUAUAAAAAUGUGGAUUUAGGAUGGGUUUCAAUCCAUUAUGAAAACUAUAUAUAUUGGAGUUCCAAUUGUCCUAUGUUGGAUACAUGAAA